UGCAAAUACAGAAAUGUUAAUCCUUGGUUUUUCUUUUGUAUCCGCCCCGUUUUGUCAAUCUCUCAUCAUAUAUGUUGGGCAAUAUGAAGAACCUGGAAGCAUUGAGUACGUGACUAACUCUAUGUGCCAUGUUAUCUCUGAGGUUACCAUCCCUUCAGCCUUCUCUACUACCAGCCCAACGGAGGAGCCAGAGCUAAUAGAUCAUAAGAGAAUGGAACAGCUUUGCUGAGCUAUUCUAACCUGAGAAGAAAGCUGAGCCUGCUGGUUCAGAGGAAGAACGCAGAUGCUCCCAGCAGCCAGAAGAGGGCAACCUUGACAUUGGAAUAUGGUAUCUGGUUGACUAACAUGAUUUUUGUGAAUUCAACCUGUGUCAUCUGUAAAAGUACCCAAUGUUCAUAAUGGCUAAGGCAUCUGUGUAUGUGGUAUUUUUUAUUUAAAAUUCAUUUUAUACAUUUGAAUUAAAACACAUUACAUC
rnacentral:lncRNA from 1 species